UCCUACGGGGGGCAGCAGUGAGGAAUAUUGUUCAAUGGUCGGGAGACUGAACCAGCCAAGCCGCGUGAGGGAUGAAGGUACAGAGUAUCGUAAACCUCUUUUGUCAGGGAACAAAGGCGGGGACGUGUCCCCGGAUGAGUGUACCUGAAGAAAAAGCAUCGGCUAACUCCGUGCCAGCAGCCGCGGUAAUACGGAGGAUGCGAGCGUUAUCCGGAUUUAUUGGGUUUAAAGGGUGCGCAGGCGGUCUGUUAAGUCAGCGGUCAAAGCCCGGGGCUCAACCCCGGCCCGCCGUUGAAACUGGCAGG
rnacentral:rRNA from 1 species